UGUACAAUGCCAUGGUCUGCCACCAGC
rnacentral:piRNA from 1 species